UACAGAGACUGCAAGCGUUAUUCGGAUUCACUGGGCGUAAAGGGUGCGCAGGCGGCCAAGUGUGUUAGGCGUGAAAGCCCGGGGCUUAACCCCGGAAUUGCACCUAAAACUACAUGGCUAGAGCAUUGGAGAGGGUAGCAGAAUUCAUGGUGUAGUAGUGAAAUGCGUAGAUAUCAUGAGGAAUACCGGAGGCGAAGGCGGCUACCUGGACAAUUGCUGACGCUCAGGCACGAAAGCGUGGGGAGCAAAAGGG
rnacentral:rRNA from 1 species